rnacentral:rRNA from 1 species
GACGAACGCUGGCGGCGUGCUUAACACAUGCAAGUCGAGCGAGUGGCGGACGGGUGAGUAAUGUCUGGGAAACUGCCCGAUGGAGGGGGAUAACUACUGGAAACGGUAGCUAAUACCGCAUACCAUCGGAUGUGCCCAGAUGGGAUGAGCUAGUAGGUGGGGUAACGGCUCACCUAGGCGACGAUCCCUAGCUGGUCUGAGAGGAUGACCAGCCACACGGCAACGGAGACACGGUCCAGACGCCUACGGGAGGCAGCAGUGGGGAAUAUUGCACAAGGGGGGAAAGCCUGAUGCAGCCAUGCCGCGUGGAUGAAGAGGGCCUUCGGGUUGUAAAGUACUUUCAGCGAGGAGGCGUUACUCGCAGAAGAAGCACCGGCUAACUCCGUGCCAGCAGCCGCGGUAAUAC